UACGUAGGGUGCGAGCGUUAAUCGGAAUUACUGGGCGUAAAGCGUGCGCAGGCGGCGCGUUAAGACAGGUGUGAAAGCCCCGAGCUUAACUUGGGAAUUGCGCUUGUGACUGGCGUGCUGGAGUGUGGCAGAGGGAGGUGGAAUUCCACGUGUAGCAGUGAAAUGCGUAGAGAUGUGGAGGAACACCGAUGGCGAAGGCAGCCUCCUGGGCCAG
rnacentral:rRNA from 1 species